GUCCUUUUGUUUAUUUAUUUAAGGUCUGACCUGCCCAAUGAGGAAUUGAAUGGCCGCAGUAUUUUAACUGUGCUAAGGUAGCAUAAUCAUUUGUCUUUUAAUUGAGGGCUGGAAUGAAGGGUUGGACGAGGUAUUAACUUUCUUUGAUUUAAUAAGGAGAAUUUAAUUUUUGAGUUAAAAAGCUUAAAUUUAUUUGUGGGACGAGAAGACCCUAUAGAUCUUUAUAGUUUUAUAUUUUAAUAAUUUGGUGAUUUAUUUGUUUUAAGUAGAUGAACUAUUUUGUUGGGGUGACUGUAGAAUUUAAAUAACUUCUAUUAUUUUAUUUCAUUAAUUAAUGUUUUUGUGAUCCAUAUUUUAUGAUUAUAAGAUUAAGUUACCUUAGGGAUAACAGCGUAAUUUCCUCGGAGAGUUCAUAUUGAUGGGGGAGUUUGCGACCUCGAUGUUGGAUUAAAAUAAGUUAUGGAUGCAGGAGUCUAUUUACUAGGUCUGUUCGACCUUUAAAUUUUU
rnacentral:rRNA from 1 species